rnacentral:tRNA from 1 species
GUUAAGAUGGCAGAGCCCGGUAAAUGCGUAAAACUUAAAACUUUAUACUCAGAGGUUCAACUCCUCUUCUUAACA